UAGGGAAUAUUGGACAAUGGGGGGAACCCUGAUCCAGCCAUGCCGCGUGGAGGAAGACUGCCCUCUGGGUUGUAAACUCCUUUUAUAUGGGAAGAACCGUCCUCAUUGAUGAGUGACCUGACGGUACCAUAGGAAUAAGCACCGGCUAACUCCGUGCCAGCAGCCGCGGUAAUACGGAGGGUGCAAGCGUUAUCCGGAUUCACUGGGUUUAAAGGGUGCGUAGGCGGAUAUGUAAGUCAGUGGUGAAAUCCUACAGCUUAACUGUAGAACUGCCUUUGAUACUUUUAUUCUUGAGGUAGGGAGAGNGAGACGGAAUUCCAGGUGUAGUGGUGAAAUACGUAGAUAUCUGUAAGAACACCAGUUGCGAAGGCGGUCUCUUGGUCCGACACUGACGCUGAGGCGCGAAAGCGUGGGGAGCAAACA
rnacentral:rRNA from 1 species